UACAGAGGAGCCAAGCGUUGUCCGGAUUGACUGGGCGUAAAGCGCACGCAGGCGGAUGCGCGCGUGGGGUGUGAAAUCUGGCCGCUUAACGGCCAGGCGCCAUCCCAUACGGCGCGUCUGGAGUGAUGCAGAGGUCGGUGGAAUUGCCGGUGUAGUGGUGAAAUGCGUAGAGAUCGGGAGGAAGGCCGGUGGCGAAGGCGGCGCUCUGGAACAUUUCUGACGCUGAGGCUCGAAAGCGUGGGGAGCAAACAGG
rnacentral:rRNA from 1 species